UAAGACUGAGGUGAACAAUGUUGUUUGGAUAAAUAAUCCAAUCGAGAAGCGUAAAUAUUCGCAACACAUAAUUAAUACGUUAUGCAUGACGUAAGAGUACGAUAGGCUGAUCACCUAAAGUACUAUUAAUGGUAGUUUACCUUCUUUGUGAUUGUAAACAUACCAAGUAAUGUAUUGUUUUGCGGUAUGAUCACUACCGUUAAAACUAAGUGUUCAUGGUCUAUACGACCCCUCAGCACAAUUUGAAAACUUUUACUCUGGUGAGUGGUGUAUUGGGUAGCAUGUGAUAUGUGUGAAUGGUGUAAGCUAUUUGGUAUACGGUGUAAGGUGUAAGGUGAAUUUCGGGGACGAAAUUCUUAGAAGGAGGGGUGAAUGUGACAACCCGAGAAUUUGG
rnacentral:lncRNA from 1 species